GGGUUGUGAGGUUAAGCGACUAAGCGUACACGGUGGAUGCCCUGGCAGUCAGAGGCGAUGAAGGACGUGCUAAUCUGCGAUAAGCGUCGGUAAGGUGAUAUGAACCGUUAUAACCGGCGAUUUCCGAAUGGGGAAACCCAGUGUGAUUCGUCACACUAUCAUUAACUAAAUCCAUAGGUUAAUGAGGCGAACCGGGGGAACUGAAACAUCUAAGUACCCCGAGGAAAAGAAAUCAACCGAGAUUCCCCCAGUAGCGGCGAGCGAACGGGGAGCAGCCCAGAGCCUGAAUCAGUGUGUGUGUUAGUGGAAGCGUCUGGAAAGGCGCGCGAUACAGGGUGACAGCCCCGUACACAAAAAUGCACAUACUGUGAGCUCGAUGAGUAGGGCGGGACACGUGGUAUCCUGUCUGAAUAUGGGGGGACCAUCCUCCAAGGCUAAAUACUCCUGACUGACCGAUAGUGAACCAGUACCGUGAGGGAAAGGCGAAAAGAACCCCGGCGAGGGGAGUGAAAAAGAACCUGAAACCGUGUACGUACAAGCAGUGGGAGCACAGAGCAAUCUGUGUGACUGCGUACCUUUUGUAUAAUGGGUCAGCGACUUAUAUUCUGUAGCAAGGUUAACCGAAUAGGGGAGCCGAAGGGAAACCGAGUCUUAACUGGGCGUUAAGUUGCAGGGUAUAGACCCGAAACCCGGUGAUCUAGCCAUGGGCAGGUUGAAGGUUGGGUAACACUAACUGGAGGACCGAACCGACUAAUGUUGAAAAAUUAGCGGAUGACUUGUGGCUGGGGGUGAAAGGCCAAUCAAACCGGGAGAUAGCUGGUUCUCCCCGAAAGCUAUUUAGGUAGCGCCUCGUGAAUUCAUCUCCGGGGGUAGAGCACUGUUUCGGCAAGGGGGUCAUCCCGACUUACCAACCCGAUGCAAACUGCGAAUACCGGAGAAUGUUAUCACGGGAGACACACGGCGGGUGCUAACGUCCGUCGUGAAGAGGGAAACAACCCAGACCGCCAGCUAAGGUCCCAAAGUCAUGGUUAAGUGGGAAACGAUGUGGGAAGGCCCAGACAGCCAGGAUGUUGGCUUAGAAGCAGCCAUCAUUUAAAGAAAGCGUAAUAGCUCACUGGUCGAGUCGGCCUGCGCGGAAGAUGUAACGGGGCUAAACCAUGCACCGAAGCUGCGGCAGCGACGCUUAUGCGUUGUUGGGUAGGGGAGCGUUCUGUAAGCCUGUGAAGGUGUACUGUGAGGUAUGCUGGAGGUAUCAGAAGUGCGAAUGCUGACAUAAGUAACGAUAAAGCGGGUGAAAAGCCCGCUCGCCGGAAGACCAAGGGUUCCUGUCCAACGUUAAUCGGGGCAGGGUGAGUCGACCCCUAAGGCGAGGCCGAAAGGCGUAGUCGAUGGGAAACAGGUUAAUAUUCCUGUACUUGGUGUUACUGCGAAGGGGGGACGGAGAAGGCUAUGUUGGCCGGGCGACGGUUGUCCCGGUUUAAGCGUGUAGGCUGGUUUUCCAGGCAAAUCCGGAAAAUCAAGGCUGAGGCGUGAUGACGAGGCACUACGGUGCUGAAGCAACAAAUGCCCUGCUUCCAGGAAAAGCCUCUAAGCAUCAGGUAACAUCAAAUCGUACCCCAAACCGACACAGGUGGUCAGGUAGAGAAUACCAAGGCGCUUGAGAGAACUCGGGUGAAGGAACUAGGCAAAAUGGUGCCGUAACUUCGGGAGAAGGCACGCUGAUAUGUAGGUGAAGUCCCUCGCGGAUGGAGCUGAAAUCAGUCGAAGAUACCAGCUGGCUGCAACUGUUUAUUAAAAACACAGCACUGUGCAAACACGAAAGUGGACGUAUACGGUGUGACGCCUGCCCGGUGCCGGAAGGUUAAUUGAUGGGGUCAGCGCAAGCGAAGCUCUUGAUCGAAGCCCCGGUAAACGGCGGCCGUAACUAUAACGGUCCUAAGGUAGCGAAAUUCCUUGUCGGGUAAGUUCCGACCUGCACGAAUGGCGUAAUGAUGGCCAGGCUGUCUCCACCCGAGACUCAGUGAAAUUGAACUCGCUGUGAAGAUGCAGUGUACCCGCGGCAAGACGGAAAGACCCCGUGAACCUUUACUAUAGCUUGACACUGAACAUUGAGCCUUGAUGUGUAGGAUAGGUGGGAGGCUUAGAAGUGUGGACGCCAGUCUGCAUGGAGCCGACCUUGAAAUACCACCCUUUAAUGUUUGAUGUUCUAACGUUGACCCGUAAUCCGGGUUGCGGACAGUGUCUGGUGGGUAGUUUGACUGGGGCGGUCUCCUCCUAAAGAGUAACGGAGGAGCACGAAGGUUGGCUAAUCCUGGUCGGACAUCAGGAGGUUAGUGCAAUGGCAUAAGCCAGCUUGACUGCGAGCGUGACGGCGCGAGCAGGUGCGAAAGCAGGUCAUAGUGAUCCGGUGGUUCUGAAUGGAAGGGCCAUCGCUCAACGGAUAAAAGGUACUCCGGGGAUAACAGGCUGAUACCGCCCAAGAGUUCAUAUCGACGGCGGUGUUUGGCACCUCGAUGUCGGCUCAUCACAUCCUGGGGCUGAAGUAGGUCCCAAGGGUAUGGCUGUUCGCCAUUUAAAGUGGUACGCGAGCUGGGUUUAGAACGUCGUGAGACAGUUCGGUCCCUAUCUGCCGUGGGCGCUGGAGAACUGAGGGGGGCUGCUCCUAGUACGAGAGGACCGGAGUGGACGCAUCACUGGUGUUCGGGUUGUCAUGCCAAUGGCACUGCCCGGUAGCUAAAUGCGGAAGAGAUAAGUGCUGAAAGCAUCUAAGCACGAAACUUGCCCCGAGAUGAGUUCUCCCUGACUCCUUGAGAGUCCUGAAGGAACGUUGAAGACGACGACGUUGAUAGGCCGGGUGUGUAAGCGCAGCGAUGCGUUGAGCUAACCGGUACUAAUGAACCGUGAGGCUUAACCUUACAACGCCGAAGGUGUUU
rnacentral:rRNA from 1 species